rnacentral:rRNA from 1 species
CCUACGGGCGGCAGCAGUGAGGAAUAUUGGUCAAUGGGCGGGAGCCUGAACCAGCCAUGCCGCGUGAAGGCGAGUGCCCUACGGGCGUUAAACUUCUUUUGUGCGGGAGCAAUAAGGGCCACGUGUGGCCCGAUGAGAGUACCGCACGAAUAAGCAUCGGCUAACUCCGUGCCAGCAGCCGCGGUAAUACGGAGGAUGCAAGCGUUAUCCGGAUUUAUUGGGUUUAAAGGGUGCGUAGGCGGACAGUCAAGUCAGCGGUAAAAAUGCGGUGCUCAACGCCGUACAGCCGUUGAAACUGGCAGUCUUGAGUGGGCGAGAAGUAUGCGGAAUGCGUGGUGUAGCGGUGAAAUGCAUAGAUAUCACGCAGAACUCCGAUUGCGAAGGCAGCAUACCGGCGCCCUACUGACGCUGAGGCACGAAAGCGUGGGUAUCGAACAGGAUUAGAUACCCGAGUAGUC